UAAGCAGAUGGAUAACCGCAUCAAGCUCUUGGAAGAGAUUCUGUCUUUUCGUAUGCAGGGCGUUGAGUUCGAUAAUGGUGAUAUGUAUGUUGACGGCCAUAAGGCUGCUUCUGACGUUCGUGAUGAGUUUGUAUCUGUUACUGAGAAGUUAAUGGAUGAAUUGGCACAAUGCUACAAUGUGCUCCCCCAACUUGAUAUUAAUAACACUAUAGACCACCGCCCCGAAGGGGACGAAAAAUGGUUUUUAGAGAACGAGAAGACGGUUACGCAGUUUUGCCGCAAGCUGGCUGCUGAACGCCCUCUUAAGGAUAUUCGCGAUGAGUAUAAUUACCCCAAAAAGAAAGGUAUUAAGGAUGAGU
rnacentral:rRNA from 1 species